CAUGGCCUGCGAGAGAGGGGACCGUGUUAUUGAAGCGGACGCCAUCGAGACGAGGUAGCAGCGACAAUGUUGAAGGGGUAGGCCCGGGCCUAGAGUCACACGUCACAGCGCGCCCGUUUACAGCCAGCUGAGCGGGGGCCCCCCAGCGCCAGGCGGCCCGGCGGCACUUCACGGGACGAGAGAAAGAGAGACCGACAGAGAAAAGACAUGGACGUGGACAUGGACUUAGAUCAAGACCUGAUGCAGAAAUUUAGCUGCAUGGGAACCACAGACAAGGAUGUGCUGAUUUCCGAGUUUCAGAGGCUGCUGGGCUUCCAGCUCAACCCGGCCGGCUGUGCGUUCUUCCUGGACAUGACCAAUUGGAAUUUGCAGGCCGCCAUUGGUGCUUACUAUGACUUUGAGAGCCCAAAUAUAAAUGCACCUUCUAUGUCAUUUGUAGAAGAUGUUACAAUAGGAGAAGGGGAGUCUGUACCACCUGACACUCAGUUCACCAAAACAUGGAGGAUACAGAAUACAGGCGCAGAGCAAUGGCCUCCUGGCGUGUCCCUGAAAUAUGUGGGAGGGGACCAAUUUGGACAUGUUAACAUGGUGAUGGUCCGGUCACUGGAGCCUCAGGAAGUUACCGACGUCAGUGUUCAGAUGCGAAGUCCAACUACGCCAGCAAUGUACCAGGGGCAGUGGCGCAUGUGUACAGCUACUGGCCUUUAUUUUGGAGAUGUGAUUUGGGUGAUACUGAGUGUUGAAAUCGGAGGCCUUUUAGGAGUUACACAGCAGCUUUCUUCAUUUGAAACAGAAUUUUCUUCACAACCCUGUCGCAAGAUUGAAGGCAAUUUUAACCCUUUCGCUUCACCACAGAAAAACCGGCAGUCUGAAGACAACAGUGUGAAGGACCCUGGGGGCCAAAGUACAAAUGUCAUUAGUAAAAAUGCAUGGGGCCCAACUGAAGACCAAAAUGAACAAGAGCAAAAUGGACUGUCGCAGAACUCUGUAAAUAUCUCCCCUAACAGUCACUCUAGCAACUUAUCAGUGGUGACUUACAGUCAGAAUGUCACAGAGAAAUGUUGAUUACACGUAUGCCACCACAUCCAAAUAGGAAGUUGGAAUGGCCUCAGUUCUGUGGGGUGAUGGAUGACUGGCAACAAGAUACAAGGCAGAAAUCAAAUGGAGGGUUUCUAAUAUCAUAAGGUUUCCAUGGCCCUUAUCCUUUUGGUCAGUCUUAAAACGGGUAUUGCCAUUAUCCAGCAGCCUCUGGGGUCUUGGUGUCACUCUGCAAUUUUGCUGUGGCCCCAUUUCCCUCCUUUGACACAACACUGAAAAAUGAUGGCUGUUUGUUUCAAAACAAUGUAUGCAUGUGUGAAUGCUAAAUUAAAGAGUGCUGUAAUUGUUUAAGAAAACACAAUGGAUUUUUUAGAUGACAUUGUCAGAAUAAUUAUGUAGUUAAACACAAAGCCAUGUUCAAAUUAUUUUGCCUACUGAGCGACUGUAGUUUAAGCAAAAGAUAAAAAAAAUUAUUUUGUAUUCGUUUGUUCAAAGCAUCUUAACUGUUGGAAUUUUUCCUGUGCGAGUGAGUUUGUUCUGUAACCUGCGGAGUAUCAUAUGGAGAGGGCAUGAGUGGAGUAGGAUUGUGUGAAAAGGUGAGUGUAACUCACUGUAGAAUGGGAGCAGUCUAUGACAGCACAAUCAAUUGGAGACUUUUCCAUACUGUAUAAAUGAAGUUUAUUAAAUUAACACUGAAAAGUCUCUAAUCAAGCUUGUGUCUAAUUUUAGAAGUUACAUUCUCAAUGACAAUUGAUGCCAGCAAAUGACAAACUUCCAACUUGUUGGGAAUGUUUUAUUCCAAGCAUCAGUUGAUUUAAUUUGUAUUAAUGUGUGCUGAUGGGUUUGGCUGUGUGGAUGAUUUGUUAAAGCAGAUAAUUUGGGGUCCUCAAACAUCCACAAGCAUGUCAGCUACUCAUUGUUAUGCUGAAGCAACUGAUGGCUCGUUCAUCUUGUUUGACCUGGUUAAAUGUCCAUUACCAUUUAGUCGGCUACAUUCUUUAACCUGAAAAAUGUUCUCAAAUAUAUUUUCUUGUAAAGUUAGCUAUUCAAAUAUUUCCAUCCUUGUACAAGCAAUACAAUUUUUAAUGUUACCUUGAAACUGGAUCCCAAUAGUGUACGACUUUUAAGCAUUUCUAUGUCACUGAAUUGGCUGUACAAUGACAUUCACUUGCAAUCGGUACCUAACCAGUCAUGUUUGCACCUACUGCAGAUAGAUCAUAAGAAUUUGCAAAGUGAGCAUUUAAAAUUGGUUCUUCCUAUGUUGAAAAGGAGCAGGGUAUUUUUGUGCCUGGAUAUUCCCAUUUUGCAUAAUCUGUUCCUUUCCAGACUAUUAAAGGUAUCAAGUGAAUUUAAGGGCUUUCCUCCAAAAAUUAAGAAAAUUAUAUACGUGGACUAUUUUCGCCUGAAGCAGGUUGACUACAAAAUUACUGAGAUGCAGGAAUAGGUCACCUAUCCAGACUUGCUUUGGUUUAAGAAGAAUGUUCAUGAGGUGAAAAUGUAUGUAAAAAUCGUGAAUGUUUUACAUGACUAUAGUAACCUUGAGAUUUCAAAAAUUCUCAUAUGCCUUCUAAAAUGUGUAUGUAACAGUAAGCAGCUCCUAAUACUUGCCAUCUGCAUUACCAUCUGCAUUACCUUCUGGGGUUAAGCAAGUUUUUGCACAGUAUUGCUAAACAUGAAUACUUCUGAGUGAGUUUGCAUGGAAUAAAGAACAUGGGGAGUUGCCGGUGCUGCAGGGGGUGAUCGUGGCCAAGAUAACAGCAUUUAAACUAAGUAACGAGAGGUUAGAAUUGAAAUGUAAAGGUGAAACAUUUUUUGCUGUGAACUAAUUACUGUUCCUGAGGAUAUUUUAAUUUCAAUUCUUGCUAAUGUAUGUAAUUGGGUCUUUGCUCCUACUUUGUAAAGUUAUCACUAUGAGCACUGUACUGGGGAACAUCAAGUUAAAUAAGUUGUCUUUUUUUCCUAAUUGAUACUGGGAAGGUUUAUCAAAUUGAUUUCUGUGUGGUGAAUGUUUCUUGGCCCAUGAUGGCAUAUUUUAAUGAUGAUGUUGCCAAGUACAUCUUGUGUGCUAAUUUGAUCUCUAUCCCUUUUAGGGGUAAAGCUAUGUCCACAAUACUCACUUAUUAAUGAUUUGAUGGAUACUUUUGAAAACUAUAUGAUUUCAAGUGCUAGAUGUUAGGUGAAAGUGAUGACAAGUGGGGGUUUCUGCUUUUGCAUGUUUCAAGACUUUGCAAAAGGUUCUGACAUGAAUUUGUAAGUGAUAAUAAGUAACAUUGUAAUAUUUUUACCAGUUUAUCAAAAUGCAGUGGCUUUUGUGUAUCUUCCUAUGUUGUUCAGCUUUCAUGCAGUCCCUUUAUUUGCAGGAAAGUUCACAAAUUGGCUCAGCAUUUAACAGUUCCAUGUAUAAGUGUUUAGUAUAAAAUAGCCAAAGCCAGAGAUUAGUGAAUUCUUUCUGUGUUGAUCAUUGCACCAUUUAUGUUGUACAAUUAAGUCAGCAAAUUUUGAAGGACAAGCUGAGUUCCAAAUAUUGUUGUAAAACAAUGUAGGAAAUGAAUAAUAUAUUGCAAAUUCAGUCUUCCUAUCCCUUCAUCUAUUGUUGAACCAUAUUGGCAAGAUGCUGCAUACCUGAAGAUAAACAACAGACAUAUAAAGACAAUACUAUCUCUAGUAAAUGUUGAAAAUGGAAUGGAAUUUAUAUUUGAAUACAUGGUUGUGUGCUUUCUGUUGAUGCCUAGUUUUAAUAUCUAUGCAUUCUUUCAACUGCUUGAUAUUAAUUCUUGGUUGUUAUCAAAAGGAACGAGUGUAAAUCUUUGAAUUUGUAUGUAUUGCCGGACUUUUGAAAAAUAUUAGACAAUGGAAGUAUGUAUGUACAUGGCGAACUGCUGCACUGAACUGAUUCAAACAAACACUUGGGAAUGGUUGAAAUUAAAGAUAUGUCAAUUUA